rnacentral:lncRNA from 1 species
UUCAGCUGCUAGCAUAGGUGCCUUUUAACAGGCUUAUACCUCAGCCAGGAACAGCUUGGUUGCAGUCACUGACCCCUCACAGAUGGAAAAAAAAUGACCUCAUCUUUGCCUCUUUUCUGGGAAAGCUUUAGCUGGCAGGGGGAUAAGAAACAAAAAGAACCUUAAUUUUGUCCCUUAGUAAUGCUAAAUGAAUGCACUGCACCAGACACCACCUUAAACUGGCUGAAGGGCACUGCUCAGUUUUGCAGGCAGCAGCUCAGACUGUGAGCAUCAUCCACAAGGGGACAGCAUCCACAUCCACACUGGAAAGAUGCCGUUUGUGUCGGUGAGGAACAGAAAGGGGAGCAGCCAUUGCUGAAAGCACCCAAAAAUUUAAAAAAACCCACCACCACCAACAAAAAAAACAAAAACCCAAGAAAGAAAGAAGAAAAAAAGAAGAUAUUUCCUGGAUUAUUGCUUCUGGAUGGAGAGAGAGGAGAGGUAAGCAAGACACAUCCAGAACAUGCCCCAGUUGCUCAGUAUAUACAUUGGAAUCCAUCUUGGGAGCUUUGCAAAGAAAGAAAAGUAAUAAAUAAACUCCUAAUGACAAGAUCACAUAUUUCAACUACAUCUGGAAAGUUCAGAAAGCCACUUUGAAGAUACUGUCUCUAGAUGAGUCUGAUAAACACAGUUAAAAGCUAUUGUGCCUACAUGUCGCCAAAUACACAACUGACAAGUUUAAAGAGAGAUACUCCACUAAUAAAAUGGAUGAUAAGUAAAUAUAUGUUACA